GUGAAUCAUCAAAUCUUUGAACGCAAAUUGCGCUUCCUGGUAUCCCGGGGAGUAUGCCUGUUUGAGGGUCAGUAGUAACAAAAAGUCGGUGUGUGGUCAAGUGGGUGCGUUUCCGGAGUUUGGGCUUAUCUUAACUGUUUGGGUUAAGGGGCUUAGGAUUGACCUUUUUGGCGCAUUUUUAGACGUACAUAAGUUUUUUUUGAUGCGUCUAUUCUUAAUGCCAAAAUCUUAUUAGAUGCGAGCACAUCGUGGGACUUCGGGUCCAUAAAAUUUUCAUGAUUUGACGUCGAAU
rnacentral:misc_RNA from 1 species